GACGAACGCUGGCGGCGUGCUUAACACAUGCAAGUCGAACGGAAAGGCCCUGCUUGCAGGGUGCUCGAGUGGCGAACGGGUGAGUAACACGUGGGUGAUCUGCCCCUUACUUUGGGAUAAGCCUGGGAAACUGGGUCUAAUACUGGAUAGGACCAUGCUGUAGGUGGUGUGGUGGAAAGAUUAGUUUCGGUAAGGGAUGAGCUCGCGGCCUAUCAGCUUGUUGGUGGGGUAAUGGCCUACCAAGGCGUCGACGGGUAGCCGGCCUGAGAGGGUGGACGGCCCACUUGGGACUGGGGAACGGGCCAGAACCCUACGGGAGGCAGCAGUGGGGAAUAUUGCACAAUGGGCGCAAGCCUGAUGCAGCGACGCCGCGUGGGGGAUGACGGCCUUCGGGUUGUAAACUCCUUUCAGCCAUGACGAAGCCCUUGUGGUGACGGUAGUGGUAGAAGAAGCACCGGCUAACUACGUG
rnacentral:rRNA from 1 species